CAAACGACUCUCGGCAACGGAUAUCUCGGCUCAUGCAUCGAUGAAGAACGUAGCAAAAUGCGAUACUUGGUGUGAAUUGCAGAAUCCCGUGAACCAUCGAGUUUUUGAACGCAAGUUGCGCCCGAAGCCUUCUGGCCGAGGGCACGUCUGCCUGGGCGUCACAC
rnacentral:rRNA from 1 species